AGACAAAAAUAACGGAUGCGACAAAGUAGGCUAUUCGUCUUGCUUUUGAUGACCAGUUUGAACUGAGAAUGCAACUGACUGACAACUGCCUGGCAUAUAGUUUGCAAGAUAACUGCCUUAUCGAGGAACACAUGGACACAUGCUCUGCACGUUUCUGCUCAAAGUUCCCCUGAGACACACAACAACCAAUGAACCUGAUGAGGAGACCAUGCG